CCCUUAGACGUUCUGGGCCGCACGCGCGCUACACUGACCAGUGCAACAAGCUUCCGUCCUUGGCCGACAGGCCCGGGCAAUCUUUGAACGCUGGUCGUGAUGGGGAUAGACUUUUGCAAUUUUUGGUCUUCAACGAGGAAUUCCUAGUAAACGCAAGUCAUCAACUUGCAUUGAUUACGUCCCUGCCCUUUGUACACACCGCCCGUCGCACCUACCGAUUGAAUGGUCCGGUGAAGCCUCCGGAUUGGCGCGCACCUCGGUGCCGCCGAGAAGUUGGCUAAACCUUACCAUUUAGAGGAAGGUGAAGUCGUAACA
rnacentral:rRNA from 1 species